UACGGAGGGAGCUAGCGUUGUUCGGAAUUACUGGGCGUAAAGCGCGCGUAGGCGGCUUUGUAAGUUAGAGGUGAAAGCCCGGGGCUCAACCCCGGAAUUGCCUUUAAGACUGCAUCGCUUGAAUCCGGGAGAGGUGAGUGGAAUUCCGAGUGUAGAGGUGAAAUUCGUAGAUAUUCGGAAGAACACCAGUGGCGAAGGCGGUUCUCUAGUACGGUACUGACGCUGAGACGCGAAAGCGUGGGGAGCGAACAGG
rnacentral:rRNA from 1 species